rnacentral:rRNA from 1 species
AGCAGCCGCGGUAAUUCCAGCUCCAAUAGCGUAUAUUAAAGUUGUUGCAGUUAAAAAGCUCGUAGUUGAAUUUCGGGAUCGAUGCGUCGGUCGUGCCUCGGUACGCACUAACGAUAUCGAUUUCUACCUUCUGACGAACCGUGAUGUCAUUAAUUUGGUGUUACGGGGGUUAGGACUGUUACUUUGAAAAAAUUAGAGUGUUUAAAGCAAGCAAUCGCUCGAAUACAUUAGCAUGGAAUAAUGAAAUAGGACGUUCGAACCUAUUUUGUUGGUUUCUAGGAUCGACGUAAUGAUUAAUAGGGAUAGUUGGGGGCAUUAGUAUUCAAUUGUCAGAGGUGAAAUUCUUGGAUUUAUUGAAGACUAACUACUGCGAAAGCAUUUGCCAAGGAUGUUUUCAUUAAUCAAGAACGAAAGUUAGGGGAUCGAAGACGAUCAGAUACCGUCGUAGUCUUAACCAUAAACUAUGCCGACUAGGGAUCGGAUGAUGUUAAUUUUUAAUGACUCAUUCGGCGCCUUACGG